CGUCCAUGCUUGUGGGUUCAACUUGACGAGCUUUUUUCACCUUCCAUCCUGUUUUAAGCUCUGUUGAUGGAUGAUUUCUGCCAUAUUUAUGGAGGGGGAGGACGCCAACUACUAGGAGAAGGAUCAGUUUAGCAAGUACAGGAUGUAAUUCUCUUAUGAUUAUGGAUUGCUGAGAAGCGCAACCUUUUGAUCUUCGAGAACCGCAAGUUUGCUGACAUU